rnacentral:rRNA from 1 species
UACAGAGACUGCAAGCGUUAUUCGGAUUCACUGGGCGUAAAGGGUGCGCAGGCGGCCAAGUGUGUGAGGCGUGAAAGCCCGGGGCUUAACCCCGGAAUUGCACCUCAAACUACAUGGCUAGAGCAUUGGAGAGGGUAGCAGAAUUCAUGGUGUAGCAGUGAAAUGCGUAGAUAUCAUGAGGAAUACCAGAGGCGAAGGCGGCUACCUGGACAAUUGCUGACGCUCAGGCACGAAAGCGUGGGAGCAAAAGGG